rnacentral:rRNA from 1 species
GGCAUGCAAGUCGAACGAAUCCCAGGGGGCAACUCUUGGGGGAAGUGGCGAAAGGGGCAGUAAGGCGUGGGUAACCUACCCUGGGGACGGGGAUAGCCAUCCUAACGGAUGGGUAAUACCUGGCGACGUAUCUGGGGGGCAUCUUCUGGAUACCAAAGGAAUUUCGCCCCGGGAGGGGCCCACGUGAUAUUAGCUGGUUGGUAGGGUAACGGCCUACCAAGGCGAAGAUGUCUAGCAGGUGUGAGAGCACGACCUGCGCCACUGGCACUGAGAACUGGCCAGACUCCUACGGGAGGCUGCAGUCGAGGAUCUUCGGCAAUGGGCGCAAGCCUGACCGAGCGACGCCGCGUGUGCGAAGAAGGCCUUCGGGUUGUAAAGCACUGUCGAGGGGGAGAAAAUCUGAUCGACCCCUGGAGGAAGCACGGGCUAAGUUCGUGCCAGCAGCCGCGGUAAGACGAACCGUGCGAACGUUGUUCGGAAUCACUGGGCUUAAAGGGCGCGUAGGCGGGUCGUCGAGUCCGGGGUGAAAUCCUCCAGCCUAACUGGAGAACGGCCCCGGAGACCGACGGUCUUGAGGGGGAUAGGGGCACGCGGAACUUCCGGUGGAGCGGUGAAAUGCGUAGAGAUCGGAAGGAACGCCGGUGGCGAAAGCGGCGUGCUGGGUCCUCACUGACGCUGAGGCGCGAAAGCGUGGGGAGCAAACAGGAUUAGAUACCCUGGUAGUCCACGCUGUAAACGAUGUGCGCUGGAUGUUGGGUGACUUAGUCACUCAGUGUCGUAGCUAACGCGAUAAGCGCACCGCCUGGGGAGUACGGCCGCAAGGUUGAAACUCAAAUGAAUUGACGGAAGGGCGAAUUUCUGCAGAU